rnacentral:rRNA from 1 species
UCGAGAAUCAUUCGCAAUGGGCGAAAGCCUGACGAUGCGACGCCGUGUGAGCGAUGAAGGCCUUAGGGUCGUAAAGCUCUUUCGCCUGGGAACAAGGGAGAGUAGAUAACACCUACUUAACUUGAGGGUACUAGGUAAAGAAGCACCGGCUAACUCCGUGCCAGCAGCUGCGGUAAUACGGAGGGUGCAAGCAUUAAUCGGAUUUAUUGGGCGUAAAGGGCGCGUAGGCGGGAAUGUAAGUCGUAUGUGAAAUCCCGGGGCUCAACCCCGGAACAGCAUGUGAAACUGCAUUUCUUGAGGGUAGGCGGAGAAAACGGAAUUCCACAAGUAGCGGUGAAAUGCGUAGAUAUGUGGAAGAACACCGGUGGCGAAGGCGGUUUUCUAGCUUAUUCCUGACGCUGAGGCGCGAAAGCAAGGGGAUCAAACAG